rnacentral:rRNA from 1 species
CCUACGGGAGGCUGCAGUGAGGAAUAUUGGUCAAUGGACGAGAGUCUGAACCAGCCACGUAGCGUGAGGGAUGACUGCCCUAUGGGUUGUAAACUUCUUUUAUAUGGGAAUGAAAUGUUCCAAGUGUGGGAUUUUGUAUGUACCAUAUGAAUAAGGAUAGGCUCACUCCGUGACAGCAGCCGCGGUAAUACGGAGGAUACGAGCGGUAUCCGGAAUUUGUGGGUUUAAAGGGAGCGUAGGUGGUUUGUUAAGUCAGUUGUUAAAGUUUGCGGCUCAACCGUAAAAAUGCAGAUGAAACUGGCUGUCUAGAGUACAGUAGAGGUGAGCGGAAUUCGUAGUGUAGCGGUGAAAUGCGUAGAGAUUACGAAGAACUCCGGUUGCGAAGGCAGCUUACUAAACUGCCACUGACAUUGAGGCUUGAGAGUGUGGGUAUCAAACAGGAUUAGAUACCCUUGUAGUC